rnacentral:rRNA from 1 species
AUUGAACGCUGGCGGCAGGCCUAACACAUGUAAGUCGAGCGGAGCGGCCGACGGGUGAGUAAUUCCUAGGAAUCUGCCUGGUUGUGGGGGAUAAAGUCCGGAAAGGGGCGCUAAUACCGCAUACAAUCAGAUGAGCCUAAGUCGGAUGAGCUAGUUGGUGGGGUAAAGGCCUACCAAGGCGACGAGCCGAAGCUGGUCUGAGAGGAUGAACAGUCACACUGGAACUGAGACACGGUCCAGACUCCUACGGGAGGCAGCAGUGGGGAAUAUUGGACAAGGGGCGAAAGCCUGAGCCAGCCAUGCCGCGUGUGUGAAGAAGGUCUUCGGAUUGUAAAGCACUUUAAGUUGGGAGGCGUUACCAACAGAAUCAGCACCGGCUAACUUCGUGCCAGCAGCCGCGGUAAUUC